rnacentral:rRNA from 1 species
UACGUAGGGUGCAAGCGUUGUCCGGAAUUAUUGGGCGUAAAGAGCUCGUAGUCGGUCUGUUACGUCGGCUGUGAAAACCUGGGGCUCAACCCCGGGCCUGCAGCCGAUACGGGCAGACUAGAAUUCGGUAGGGGAGACUGGAAUUCCUGGUGUAGCGGUGAAAUGCGCAGAUAUCAGGAGGAACACCGGUGGCGAAGGCGGGUCUCUGGGCCGAUAUUGACGCUGAGGAGCGAAAGCGUGGGGAGCGAACAGG